CAUCUAUUCAUUUACAUAUUCAUAGUUCAUAUCAUACCCAAUGAAAAAUAUUGAAUCCAAUUUUAUCGUGUUAAGAAACUUGGUAAUAGCUAAUUGCAUACUACUUCAAUUUUUUUUAAAAAAAAAAAUUUACAAAAAUUUCUUAAAUUUGACGGAAUUUGAAUACAUCCAAAAUAUUCAUGUAUCCCACAUUUCGAUUUCAAAUAUAUUAUUUAACUUCUUGAUAUAUUGCAUUUUGAUUUCGAAUAUAUCAUUAUACAUCACAUAAAAUGGCGUAUUCGAAAAUAAAAAAGAACAUAAAUUUUUAUAACUUUUCAAAUAAAUUGUAUGUUUCAAGUAAUUUUUCCUAAGUCAUACAAUAGAUUUACAUAACAACAAAAUAAAAGGGAGACAAUUUUUUUUAAAAAAUUUAAUUAAUAAAAAUCAUUAUAAUUAUGCAUACUAUUUUUAUUUAGACAAAUUAUUGGUAUUUGUAUUCAUCGAAAUUCGAAAAAAGGGGAAAGAAACAGAAAACUGAUAAAAAAGAAAAAUCGGAGUGAGUGUAGAAAAUAAGAAGAAGCAAAAAAAAAUAAAAAUGGCUCGUAGUCGAUUUUCAGGAUCAUUGAUUUCUCCUAAAGUGGAUCUACGCAUUGAUUUGGGAAACCCUUUUCUAAAUCACACUGUUGAUGCUUUCUUGAAGAUCGGCACUGUUGCUGCUACCAAAACUGUUGCUGAAGAAACUUAUGGGAUAGUGACUAGAGGUUUGCUUCUAAUUCCAUUUCUUGAAUAUCCAAUUUCAAAUUAAUCAUUCAUCUUUAAUUAGUACUUCAUCCGUCCCUAAUUACCUGUCCACCUUUUGGAUUGCAACACUUAUUUAUCACUUGCUUAAGAUUUUCAAAAAGUUUUAUCCAAAUAAAAGUAAAGUAGACGAAUAACUAGGAACAGAGGAAAGUGGACCAGUAAUUAGGAAUAAGGGAAAGUGGACGAGGAAACUAGUAAGAUUGUCGUGUCAUUUCGUGCACAACAUGUAUUUGAAAAUUGAAAAUAAAAAAUCAACUCUUAGAUAUUGUU